UCUUCUUCAGUUUUUUUUCCAUUAUCUAUUUCUGUUUCUCUCUUCUUCUUCAGAUAUCAUGCUUGCCACUCUCAUUGUCGCCCUUUCCUUUUCAAACUUCUAUUCAAACCCAUGCUUGCCACUCUCAUUGUCGCCUUUUCCUUCUCAAACUUCUAUUCAAACCCAAAAGCCACCCACUGCUCCUUCUCCUACCAGCGACAGGUCGUCAAUAGAUCAAGGAAUAGCAUAUGAGCAAGAGAAUGAAGGGACUCAGAGCUGAAGGAAGUGCAUACUGGAGCGCUAGGGCUCAGGAUAACCGCCGCAAGGAGGUGCGUUGGGUCAACGUCAUUGGCGACAUUCACAGGAACAGAGGAGAUACGUCGAAGCCUUCAAACGGCUCUGAAUCCGAAUCGAUUACGAAGUUCUGCUAAAAUACUUGCUGGGAAAGGACUUGCUCCCUACCUGCCAAUCCCUUGGUGAGAUGUACCUUCGCCUCGAGCAGUUCUCUGAUGCUCUACCUUACUAGAAGAUGCAGUUAGACCUUGCAAGUUGCAAGGAAUGCCCCUGCUAAGGUUUCCUUAGUUUUCCUGCUCUUUGCGGCAUCCUCCACUACGUUAGGGCAAUGAGUCACGGGUUUUGAGUGAUUGGAAGGGUAGAGUUGAGGGUUUCUCCGGUGGUCUACCUUUUGGUUUGCCUUACAUUUUCAAGCGUGAAUGGAUGUUGAAGUUUUCCAUUGUUCAAGUCACUUACUCUAUCUCUUUUUCACUCAUCAGUUAGUAUUUGUGAUAGCUUUAUGGUUCGUAAUGCAUUUUUGUGUAUAACUGCUUUUGUAUGCACAACGCUUACCUCACUUCUGCUUCAAAAUGGGAGUUCCUUUUAUUCUUAUAACUUAUAAGCUCCAAAAGAGCCAAAGAUAAUCAUCAAUCGUUAAUACAAAAUUACUCACCUGAAGCUACUUUUUACAUGGAUACUAGCACUUAGUUAUAUUUAAUCUUUCAUUUUUUGGGUAAAUAAAAUGAAAUUAAUAUUAUUAUUAUUGUUGUUGUUAUUGUAAGUACUAUCUUAUGAUUCAUGUCUCUUAGUUUUAUAUGAUGUGUUUAAAAUUUUAGGGACAUGGAUUGAAGACCAAAUGCAUUAGAUGAAUGAUGAAUCUGAAAUUUUUACAAGGGUAUACCGUAUUUGAAGCUUGCUAAUGAAGUAAACUAUUGAUGAUUUAUUAUCUAUUUUAUAGGUAUUUUAUUUUUGUCAUUGUAAGAUUUAUGGGUCACACUUUCAGUUUGGCCUAUUACUUAAAGUCUCACUAAUUGAUUGGGUUUGUAGUUGAUGAUAAUUUUUUUGGUGAGACUUGAUUUUGAUUUGGUAGAGAACCUAAGUGAUUGUAUGGAUGUUCAGAUAAAGAGAUGAGCUGCAGCAAAACAAAAAACCAACAUGCAGUCACUGCUAUCAUCAUUACAAGAUGGGUUUGUUUGCUAUUGGUAAUGGAUACAAGAAGUUAAGAAAUCUAAUAUUAAGUCACAAGGGUUUGGAAGCAAUUGCUACCGGAUGCAAGGAACUUGCACAUCUUGAAGUCAAUGAAUGCCACAACAUUCGAGGUUUGGGGCUAGAAUCCAUGGAAGGAUCUUGCCAGUAUGUAUGUAAAAUAAGGAAUGAAUUAACCAUUCAAUAAAUAGGCAACAUAAGGAAGCAUGGGACACAUGUUUGGCCUCUUUAUAUUUACAUUUGGUCAAGUUUUUCAUUGCUUGCUAUGUGUGUUUCUCUGUUUAUUUAUCGUUUGUGGUGUUAAGCUCAGCUUUCUAUCGGCAGACGUCUUAUUGAGUUGGCAUUAUUUUACUAUCAAAGAAUUGUUGAUGUUGGUCUUCUUCAGGAUGGAGAAGGAUGCAAGUUCCUAUAAACUCUUCAACAGGAAGAUUACUCAAACCUUGGGGAUGGUGCUAUAUUUGGUAUACCUAUUGGCUGUAGGAAUUUAAAGGAACUUCAUAUCCAUUGCUGUUAUGGGGUACUUCAUUUGCAUGCCUAUUUGGUUUACCAUGUUAAACUUCAUUUAAAAAUGAAUAUUUUUGGGAUGGCUCACUUUCAAAAUUAGGGCUGCACAUGGAUUGGAUAAUAUCCGCAUAUCCGCGAUAAUUAUCCGCAUUUGAUCCGAAUUUUGCGGAUAUUAUCCGAUCCGCAGAGCCAUCGGAUCGGAUCGGAUUGCGGAUUCGGCAGUGAUAUCCGCGGAUCCGAUUCGCAAGUCCGCAUAUCACAUAUAAAUAGCAUAGUUUAAGAAA